UACGAAGGGGGGGCUAGCGUUUGUUUCGGAUUACUGGGCGUAAAGCGCACGUAGGCGGGUCGUUAAAGUCAGGGGUGAAAAUCCCCGGAGCUCAACUCCGGAACUGCCUUUGAUACUGGCGACCUUGAGGCUGGAAGAGGUUAGUUCGGAAUUCCCAGUGUAGGAGUGAAAUUCGUAGAUAUUAGGGAGGAAACACCAGUGGACGAAGGCGGCUAAGCUGGUCCAGACUCUGACGCUGAGGUGGCGAAAAGCGUUGGGGGAGCCAAACAGG
rnacentral:rRNA from 1 species